AAAUGCAAGAGGGCAGGUGUGUACGCAUGGUAUAAUCGUGAGGGAAAUAGUAGUCAUAAAUAAACUUUUGUUGCAUUAGUUAUGGACAAAAUAAUCUUCUUUUCAGUUAUGCCUAGAAAACCAUAUGUUGCAUAGAACUAUUAUGGACAUCAUAAGGAGGUUGCUUGUAAAAGCAUUAUUUUAAAAGUACAAGGAAAAGAAUUGUUCUCGUGAAUCCUUUGUGUUGGAAUCAUCAACGUUUAAGCGGAAAAGAUAAGUUCGUAUGGAUGGGCUCAGAGAAAA